rnacentral:rRNA from 1 species
CGGACGGGUGAGUAAUGCUUGGGAAUCUGGCUUAUGGAGGGGGAUAACUGUGGGAAACUGCAGCUAAUACCGCGUAUUCUCUGAGGAGGAAAGGGUGGGACCUUAGGGCCACCUGCCAUAAGAUGAGCCCAAGUGGGAUUAGGUAGUUGGUGGGGUAAAGGCCUACCAAGCCUGCGAUCUCUAGCUGGUCUGAGAGGAUGACCAGCCACACUGGAACUGAGACACGGUCCAGACUCCUACGGGAGGCAGCAGUGGGGAAUAUUGCGCAAUGGGGGGAACCCUGACGCAGCCAUGCCGCGUGAAUGAAGAAGGCCUUCGGGUUGUAAAGUUCUUUCGGUAAUGAGGAAGGGAUGUUGUUAAAUAGAUAGCAUCAUUGACGUUAAUUACAGAAGAAGCACCGGCUAACUCCGUGCCAGCAGCCGCGGUAAUACGGAGGGUGCGAGCGUUAAUCGGAAUAACUGGGCGUAAAGGGCACGCAGGCGGACUUUUAAGUGAGAUGUGAAAUCCCCGAGCUUUACUUGGGAACUGCAUUUCAGACUGGGAGUCUAGAGUACUUUAGGGAGGGGUAGAAUUCCACGUGUAGCGGUGAAAUGCGU